UUAAGGUCUAAUCUGCUCAAUGAUUUAAUUAAAUUGCCGCAGUAUCUUAACUGUGCAAAGGUAGCAUAAUAAUUAGUUUUUUAAUUGGAAGCUAGAAUGAAUGAUUGGACGAGAAAAAUUCUGUCUCUUUAUUAUAUUUAUUUAACUUAACUUUUAAGUUAAAAGGCUUAAAUUUUUUUAAAAGACGAGAAGACCCUAUAGAGUUUAAUUAUUAAUUUUAUUAUUUUUAUUUGGAAUUUAAAAUUUUAAUUUUUUUAUUAAUUUAAUUGGGGUGAUUGAAAGAUUAAAUUAACUCUUUAAAUUUAAAAUCAUUGAUUUAUGAACAUAAAUUCUAAUAGUUUAAGUUUAAUAUAAAUUACCUUGGGGGAUAACAGCGUAA
rnacentral:rRNA from 1 species